rnacentral:SRP_RNA from 1 species
GCUGGGCGUGGUGACGGGCGCCUGUAAUCCCAGCUACUUGGAAGGCCGAGGCAGGAGAAUUGCUUGAACCCAGGAGGUGGAGGUGGCAGUGAGCCGAGAUCGCGCCAUUGCACUCCAGCCUGGGUGACAGAGCAAGACUCUGUCUCAA